rnacentral:misc_RNA from 1 species
CUCCAAAACCCAUCACACAAACUGCUGCUGCUUCCUUUCAUCCAUUUUCAUUCUUCUACAACCUUAUUCUAAUUGCUUUGCCAUAAUUCCAAAUUGCCAAUGGGCGCGCACGCACCUAGGCUUGCGCGCAAAACCACUCCAAUAUUGUUACUCGCGUUAUCAUUAGCAGUUGUGGCAUUUGGUGCGACAGAUUCUGCUGCCCUCUUCAAGUUUAAGGAAGCGCUUCAAAA